rnacentral:rRNA from 1 species
GAAAGAUGAAAAGAACUUUGAAAAGAGAGUUAAACAGUACGUGAAAUUGUUGAAAGGGAAACGAUUGAAGCCAGUCGUACCUUCGGGUAAUCAGCCUUUCGGGUGCGAUUCUGUGGAGUUUGAGGAGCUUAACACCUUCAUGCUUUGCAUAUUCGUGCUCUUGGGUGUACUUGCUCGUAUGGUUGGUUAACAUCAAUUUUGGUGGUCAUAAAAUGACUGGAGGAAUGUACCUUCGAUCUCGUAUUGAAGUGUUAUA